UGGGGAAUAUUGCGCAAUGGGGGGAACCCUGACGCAGCCAUGCCGCGUGAAUGAAGAAGGCCUUCGGGUUGUAAAGUUCUUUCGGUAUUGAGGAAGGUUGAUGUGUUAAUAGCACAUCAAAUUGACGUUAAAUACAGAAGAAGCACCGGCUAACUCCGUGCCAGCAGCCGCGGUAAUACGGAGGGUGCGAGCGUUAAUCGGAAUAACUGGGCGUAAAGGGCACGCAGGCGGUUAUUUAAGUGAGGUGUGAAAGCCCUGGGCUUAACCUAGGAAUUGCAUUUCAGACUGGGUAACUAGAGUACUUUAGGGAGGGGUAGAAUUCCACGUGUAGCGGUGAAAUGCGUAGAGAUGUGGAGGAAUACCGAAGGCGAAGGCAGCCCCUUGGGAAUGUACUGACGCUCAUGUGCGAAAGCGUGGGGAGCAAACAGGAUUAGAUACCCUGGUAGUCCACGCUGUAAACGCUGUCGAUUUGGGGGUUGGGGUUUAACUCUGGCGCCCGUAGCUAACGUGAUAAAUCGACCGCCUGGGGAGUACGGUCGCAAGGUUA
rnacentral:rRNA from 1 species